AGGGCGCAGCUUAAACAUGCAAGUCGAGCGGAUUUUGGAACUGGCUCCCUGAUUCGUCGGUGGACGGGGAAUACUGCCUAUGACUCUGCCUGGUUUGGGGGACUUGUUUCGAACCGAACGCUGUCCCCCCAGACAUCCAACUGGAGAAAGUGGGGGAUCUUCCGACCUAAUACUUUCUUAUGAGCCUAAAUGCCAAUCACUGCUACGAGACGUAAAUGCUCACCAAGGCUAAUAUCCCUAACUGGUCUGAAAAGACGAUCCAUACUCCUGGAGCUGACACCCGUGCGGAACUCCGACCGGAGGCCGCAAUGCGGAACAUUGCACGCCGGGCGAAUGCCGGAUCCCUCCAUGCCGCGUGUGUCAAUAACGUCUUCAGAUUGUGACGCACUUUAGAUUGGAAGGAACGGCAAUAUUUUAAUACCUUGCUGUUUUGACAUUACCGGGGCAAUAGUUGUUCGCAUUUUUCGUGCCUACAGCCCCGGUAAUACGACUGGUGCAUCCGUUGUGAAAACUUACAGGUCAUAUCUCGAACUGACGUUGAUCCUGAAAUUCUAUGUUAUAGCCCAGGUCUCUGCCUGUCAAAUGCAUCCGGUACUGUUCAGCUAUAUUAUGACAAACGGUGGUGGAAUUUCCUGUGUAGCGGACAAAUGCGUACACUGAGGUGCGAACACCGUGUGGCGAAGGCGACCACCUGUACUCUGACUGACACUGAGGUGCGAAAGCGUGGUGAGCAAACAGGAUUAUAUACCCUGGUAGUCCACGCCGUAGCAAUAUCGACUAGCCUGGGGAUCCUUGAGAUCUUAUUGACGCAACUAGAGCUGAAGUCGACCCGCCUGAGGGAGUACGAGCCGCAGGUUAAUUCUCAAAUGACAUUGCACGAGCGUCUCGCACAAGUUGACGGAGCAUGUCGCUUUACACUACAGAUGAGCUCUUUAGAAUCUUACCGGGCCGUAGACAUGCAGAUAACUUUCGUAGAUGGAUUGGUGCUUCGAGUAACGCUUACACACGUGCUGCAAGGCUAUCGUCAGCUCUUGUUGUGCAAAAUGUGGGUGAGUCCCGUAACGAACUCACACGUGAUACCUAGUAGCAAGGCUCGGUAAGGUCGGCAGUCUAAGAAGACUGCCCGUGACAAACCGGAGGAAGGUGGGGAUGAAGUCAAGUUCUCAUGGCCCUUACGGCGUGGGGUACCCAACUGGUACAAUGGUCGGUACCAAGGGGCGGCAAGCCGGGAGGUGCAGGUUAUUCCAUAAAACCCAUCUUAGUUCGGAUUGCACUCUGCAACUCGAGUGCAUGAAGUCGGAAUCGCUAGUAAUCGUGAAUCAGAAUGUCACGGUGAAUACGUUCCCGGGCCUUGUACACACCGCCCGUCACACCAUGGGAGUGGGUGCUCCAGAAGCGCUAGUUUAACGUAAGGAGGCCGGUACCACUGUAGUACCAUUGG
rnacentral:rRNA from 1 species